rnacentral:rRNA from 1 species
UACAGAGGGUGCGAGCGUUAAUCGGAAUUACUGGGCGUAAAGCGUGCGUAGACGGUUAUUUAAGUCGGGUGUGAAAGCCCCGGGCUCAACCUGGGAAUUUCAUUCGAGACUGAAUAGCUAGGGUACGGUAGAGGGAAGCGGAAUUUCCGGUGUAGCGGUGAAAUGCGUAGAUAUCGGAAGGAACAUCAGUGGCGAAAGCGGCUUCCUGGACCAGUACCGACGUUCAGGCACGAAAGCGUGGGGAGCAAACAGG